UACGUAGGGGGCAAGCGUUGUCCGGAUUUAUUGGGCGUAAAGCGCUCGCAGGCGGCUCGAUGCGUCGUGCGUGAAAGCCCCGGGCUCAACCUGGGAAUUGCAUUCGAGACUGCGUGGCUAGGGUGCGGAAGAGGGAAGCGGAAUUUCCGGUGUAGCGGUGAAAUGCGUAGAUAUCGGAAGGAACACCAGUGGCGAAAGCGGCUUCCUGGUCCAGCACCGACGUUCAGGCACGAAAGCGUGGGGAGCAA
rnacentral:rRNA from 1 species